UACGUAGGGGGCGAGCGUUGUCCGGAUUCAUUGGGCGUAAAGAGCUCGUAGGCGGCUUGGCAAGCCGGGUGGUGAAACCUACCAGGCUCAACCUCGGAGGACGCCACCCGGGACUGCCUAUGGCUAGAGUCCGGUGAGGGGAUCAGCGGAAUUCCGGUGUAGGCGGUGAAAGUGACGCAGAUAUCAGGAGGAACACCGGUGGCGAAGGCGGUGAUCUGGGCCGGCACUGACGCUGAGGAGCGAAAGCGUGGGGAGCAAACAGG
rnacentral:rRNA from 1 species